rnacentral:tRNA from 1 species
GGCCCUGUGGCGCAAUGGAUAGCGCAUUGGACUUCUAAUUCAAAGGUUGUGGGUUCGAGUCCCACCAGGGUCA